UUUAAUCACCGUAUAUCAUACCAAAAUAUCUUCAAGCGUUAUAUAAUUGAAAUGCAUUAUAGGUAACAACAUACAAAUAUCUAAAAUGUAGAACGCACUCUUUAUAAUAUUUAGCAGCAAAAAUAAUUCUCUGCUUAAAUUGCGUUUUUAUCAAAAUAGUUCACAAAAAUAAAUACACGGUCUAUUUAUCGCUGUAUAUUCGAUCAAAGCGAUAGCCGGUAUUUUGAAGAUGGAAGGCAAUAAAAUUGGACGUGGUCGUUUAUUGCGUUCGCGUUACGCGCAUAGCCGCUCGAAAUUAGUGGAACAAUGUCGCGAUCGAGUCCUUCUCGAAGCAUGUCAGGAAGUCAAUUUGUGGUUAGUCCAGCAUGAAGCGUAUUACAGUCAUCAACGUUGAAAGUUCUAAAACGCGUUCCACGCGAAGGUUGAAUUGAACGUGAUAAAACGGGAAUGUCGCGGUUGCCUUUUUUUUUAUUAACUUUUAUUAGAGAUUCCGGAUAAAUAAAGUUUUUACCUACGCUUUGUGGAAACUGUGUAUGAACAAGAUUUAUCUGGUCCCGUUUCUUUGACAUCUCUGCUUUUCUUUGUUAUUUAUUUUUUUUUGGAAUUUAUUUUUUUUUUGGAAUUUAUUUUUUUUCAAAUAUUCAACAUUCCGAGUUGAACUUAGGAUUUAACUUUAUAAUCUCGUUGUUUCUUUAUUUUUCUUUCUUUUUUUCAUUCUCUUAUCUUCCUUUUUCAUCUUUUUUACAAGAUGGAAAGCUUUACGUGUAACUUUCGAGAUAAUGAAACCAACGUAGAUAAAGAAAUGGUAUUUUUAUGCGCUAGUUUACACAUAUUAUUAGCAUACAAUUGUCCGGUGCCUUUAUUUGAAUUUCAAAAGACCGAAUCAAUCGAAAGUUUUACUUUUGAUGGAAACUCAAAUGAAUUCGACGUUUAAUUUUGUUAUAUUGGCGGCGCGUUGUAGACAGUAGCCACGGCGAAUACGUCAAUCGAAAAUACAAAAUCGAUUGUUCCUUCGCUCUCUUUUUCUACGAAAAUCUUUGCUAUGGAAUUUCACAUUCAGAUAAUUUCACAUUAAAAUUCUGUACUGAAGUGUCAUGAUAUUUUGUAGAAUGUUCUGCGUGUUACAUUUUUUUUUUAGAACCAGGCAUCUUUCUUUUUUUAUUUUUAGGUGCUAUUAAACAUAGGUCGAGAGAAGGGUUGAAUAAGUGAAAAGGUCGACUUAUUUUUCGAGCAAUAAUUUUUCUUUCCAGAAAUUACACUUUGUUUUUAAUAUAUUGUUAUAUUACUAAUUAAUGUUAAUUUUAUAUUACUACUUACUAGUUACUUAUUGAUAUUAUAAAACUAUUAUGUAUAUCAUAUAAGGGUAGUAACUUUUGUGUCGUAGUGUGAUAACUUUUAACAAACUAUUGCAUGAACGAAGUAAACACACUCUUUUCCGAAUGUAAUCGAAUUCAGUGAUAAAAAAAGUGUCGUAUCGGAGAAACCAAACACAGAAUUUAGAAGACUAUCUUAUCAAUAAAAAAGGCGUGUACGGGACCAUGAAAAAUCACGAUGAUGCAAUGUUAAAAAUUUUGGAAGUUAUAUUAACCUAUAGCGUUUCUAUAACAUACAAUAGAUAAAUUUUCCCUUUUUUUUUUAUAAAAUUCUUGUAAUUUCUAUUCCGUUGCUAAUAUCGAUCUAAAAAUGUAGUACGGAGUUAAGAAUAUCUGUAUUAUUUUAUGUAUUAUGUUUUAUUUAGUUAAUCGAUUAGAUUUUAUAAGUACUAUCGUUAAUUAAUAGACUGCGAAUUUUUAUACAUUCGUAGGAAAUUUGAAAGUGCCAAGUUGCACAGAAUGCGUGUGAUAUGAAAAAUCGCGCAAGAAUUCCAAAGUAUAGUGUUUUCUAUAAUAUAGUAUAGUAUAGUGCUUGGUAAAACAAUUUUCUUGUGCUUUUUUAAUUAUAUUCCUAAAAGUCGGAAUUUUCGUAAAGAUCCGCAGUCUAUCAAUUAGCGUUAACAAAAGAAAAAACAAAAAUUCAAAUAAUCCGAAGCUUCCCGUAUUAUUCCUUUCUCGGAAAAGAAAUUCUUCUCUCAAAAGAAUUUUCAUCUCUUUAUGUGGCACGUGCUAGUUACUUAUUUACGAAAAACGUAAACGUUCGCAGGGGAAACGAAUCCGCGCGUCUAGAUGUGUUCGACAGAGGCACAUCUCAUUGUGCAAGAUUCUGUGAAUCGGCGAACUGUUCGCGAUUCUACGAAUGGCGGUCGCGAUGGCACGAUUCGCACGUACUCCAUGAAAUCAUUGUCUAGUCUCAGCGUAUUAUUUUUACACACUGCAAGAUGUUUUCCGUACGUGGUCGCUUUGUCUUCAUCCCAUGAUCUCCCUUUGAGCUUUUGCAUAACCGUUUGCUAUAACGUUACGUGUCGAACGAAUGACAUUUGCGAUGAAAUUUGGCUAAUUUGUAACAGAAAUAUUCCGUCGGAGCUGUAAACGAGAGAAAAUCGUAUUAAUGAAAAAAAGAGGAGAGAAAGAAACAUUGUGUUUAUUUUGUUUGGAACGUCAAAGUUUACUACAAACAUAAAAGCAUUAGAAUACAAGGGCAUUUUAGAGUAGUACGUGUACAAGAAUACAUGGAGUAUUUACAUUUGACAGGACUUCACAUAAAAACGCAUGAAUUAUCAUAACUGAAUUGAUAUUUUAAUUAUGAAAUAAUAUAACGAAACAAGAUCUGCAGUGUAGAGAAUACAACGAAUAAGUCAGAAGAUUAUAAAAAAUUCAGUCGCACUAAAAUUAUUUUUGACGCACUUUGUCAUCUUCCACGAGACAGAGUUUUCAAUCUAAGAAAAAUCCUAAUACGUUUUUAAUCUGACAAUGAGCAGAAAUGGAAGCACAGUUUUCAGAUUUGUCCGAUUAAUUGCAGCGUCUAACUAAACUGAUAAUACCUAUGACAGAGAUAUUGUUACACGCUAAUUCUAAUCGGCAGACAGUACGGGUUCAAUCAAUUAUAAAUAUCGCCGAUGUAUUUUUACACAACGCCCGUUGGUGAGUUGACACGUUAACGAGGGUCAAUCAGAAUUUACCGAAUUAAAAUGGUGGGAGGUGGCACGAUAUAAGAAAGCGUCGGUCAAAUGGAAUCACUCUUAAAUAUUAAAGCCGAAGUAUAAAAUAUUUUAGGAUCAAUAGUAUUCUCCCUGUCUCGUCUUUUGUUCCGGAGAAAAUAAAACCAUCGUUGCGUAUAGUUUUGUACGCUGUUGCACAAUAACGAUGACAUUUCGUCCUGAACGGUUCGUUAACGAUAAAAAUGGAAAUCCCCUUGUUCAUGAUAAACCGUAUGAUUCGAGGUAGAUUUUUAAGUAGAAUAGCGCACCACCAGUUUCCUUACUGUUAUCAGGAUUUAUUUGAUUCGUCGUCGUAUAGAAAUAUAUUAUAAACACUAUGAAGAGACUUAAAUAAAGAGGAGAGAUACUAAGAAAGAUUAGUCAUGAGAAUGAAAAUAUGUAAGCGGAAAGUAUCCUUACGUGAAAUAAAAAAAAGAAAUAGAGGAAAUGAUUAAUAUGUUUCUUGUGAUUAUUUCGGGACCUAAAACCAAGAAUUGGAAUUUUUUGUGAGUAUAAGAAUAAUUCUUAACUAACUUUUACUUUAAGCAAAUCUAAGUUUGAUGUGAUUUACUGAUAUAUAAAAAUAAUUUAUGUUGGUAAAUUAUAUACUAAUCUAAAUCGUUUCUUAAGUUGAUACACUAAUAAGAUUAAUGAGAAAAUUAUUAUAAAUGUUUCGUACAACUUUUUAUCCCAUUCUUUUUAAUUAUUAGUCACAUCGACAUCUAGGUCAUUAGCGACAAGUUUGCUUCUUCAGUUUACUAUAGUUAAAUUUCUUGCUGGAGUUGAGGCUCCUUCAAGUUACUUGCAUCUUUGAUGUCGUUUUUUCUAUACUAAAUUCGAAUAUUAAUUAAAUUAUUCAAUUUAUAAACAAAAUAACGUAAUGACAAAGUAUAGGAUUGUAAUUAGAUUGCGAACUUUCAUGCAAAUUCAUAUUUUUGGGGAUAUAAUUGGAAAAGUAGAACUUGAGUAGAAAAUUGUUUUACUUAUCAAAUGUUGUAAAAAGGGCUGUUUUCACAUCAUACGCAUUUUGUGCAAUUUUAUACUUUCACAUUUCCUAUAAAUGCAUAAAAAUCCUCAGUAUAGAGCUAGGUGAAUUUAAUACUCUUAAAUACGAAUUUUCACAAAAAAAAAAAAAAAAAAAAGAAAAAAGGAACAGCAUUUGUAUGUUCACAAUUUGUCUAAUCCGAUUAAAAAGUUAUCGGCUUUUAAAUUUUUAUUCAGCGAUAAUUUUUUUUUAAAGCGUGAGCGAACGAAAAUUCUGGGUGAACAAUCGUGGACAAUCAUAUUCCACUUAAAAAUCAAUAAAAAAGUUUAUGGGAUGGCGAUGUCAAAUUUUUUAAAAUUUUCAUUUGGUGAUAACUUUUUUUUUGUUUUAAUGACCGAUAGAAGAAAAUUUUGGUUACAGAAAUGUGGUCAAACGAAUACUGUCUCUUCUUUGUAAAAAUUCGCAUCUGGCGGUGCUAGUUAUAUACCAUACGCAUUGUGUGCAUUUUUGCAUCUUCAAAAUUUCCACAAAUGCACAAAGAAAAUUGAAUAAGACGCUAUAGCGUUGUGGUCGAAUCUGUGGUAAUAUUUUAGUAGUUGUAGCGUUUCUUCAGACCCACAAAGUGAAACGGUUUCUUGAAUAAUUCCAUGGCCGUCUGCAUGAUAGAGCUAAAGGUUCAUUUUAGAAAAUGGUCGCGUGCCGUCGUUCACGUACACUCGCUCGCCUGUCUUGCGGAAAUAACAACGUCUGCGUAUACACGUGCUAUUAAUUGCGAAAGCAGCGUCAACGCUCGUGUAUAAUAAUUUUCAGUUCGCGUGGAUGGCCACGUCUGACAAUUUCAGCCGUGUUUUAUUGCGAUAAGAUUGAAGUACGCGUUACCGUAUAUCGAUUGCGAUAAGAACGCAUCUGGGUACAUUCGCCUGGAUUUUAAUUGGUAAAUAUCGGAUUGACUCGCGAAAGAGAAGAUCCUACGAAUACAAACAUUCGCCUGGAUUAAUAUUUUUAUUUCUUUUCAUCCAUAUUGUCUAUACCUUUUUUUUUACAUUUUUUCACGAUAUCUUGAACUAUCAUAACGAUGUUAUCUAUGUUAUACAGAUUAUCCGUAUUAUAGAUAGAACACGUCGAUGUUUGCUAAAUUGAAAAUUAUUUCGAAAAUUAUAUUUGUUAUCGAAGAGUAUUGCGUUAAGAUUAAGUUUCCAAUUAUUGUGUGAAAUGAACAAUAUGUUUCUAAUUACUAUAUAAAUGUUCAUCAUUGCAUAAAUAAUGCAGUCUUGAUUGAAAAAAUUAUAGGUAGUCGUUAUUUAAUUUUCAUAGUUGUGGGUGUUUGAAUUUGAAUCCUUUUUAAUUUUCAAAUUUCAAAUUAGUUUAAACAGAGAGCAGUAGUGAGAGAGAAAGAGAGAGCGAGCAGUGAUUUUGCUUCUCAAAUUCAUCUACGUAUCAUAUUUGAAAUAAAUUUUUAAAUAAUUAGAAAAUUCUCUGCAAUUCAAUUGUACGCGAUAUUAACGAUAUUGAUGUUUUGUUUUUAAAAUAUGCAUGAAUAAGCAUCUUAUCUUCAGUUUUAUCAAUUUAUAGGUUUAAGCUUUAAGCUAUGCGGCUGGAAGCUAAUUCGCUGUUAAAGCUUACGAGCUAAUUAUCUAAUAUUCCUAAAAAGCGCUCAAAGAUUCCAUCGUUAAAUUAGAUAAUACGAGACCCUCGACAAGUUAUGAAACUCUGUUAUAGUAAAAUUCAACGUUGGCCGUAGAAACGGGUCUCGUGGACAUUGGACAUUUCAGGAACUACGUGCUGGCAAAUAAAGUAUCAAUGGAGGAACAAUUCUCUUGAAAACUUUUAUUUCGUGUACCUUCCUAAUAAAUAAAUUUACAAACUGUCUUAAUUUUUCCACAUUUUCAUUAGAAAAUAAUAAAGUAUAUUUCUCUACUAUUUAUAAUAAUAGAAUGUUUUUGAUGCAAUUAGUAUAGAUUUAGAUGUUUGCGAAUAUUAUCCAUAUUAUUGCGAAUAUUUCCCAUAUUAAUAAAACUGUUUUCCAGAGCAUAAAUAUUUAAUUAAUCUGAAUUGAAAUGUUUUCGUAUUUUAACACAACGAUUUGUAACGUGUACCUGAAUACGCAUAGAUGAUUAUAAUUAUAUUAAUAGACUGAAAAGAAAUACGUAUACGUAUAGUCACGUUUCUAUUUGAAUAAAAGUCAACAAGAAUUUUGCGAAAAUUAUAUAUGUAUUUUUAGCAAUUAUGAAAACGAUAAAUCUAAAAGUCAUGAGCAACGUGAGUUGCAGUGUCUCAUGUCUCUUUCUCGAAACAAGUUAAUUUGUCGCAAAAUAAUUCAAUUCUUGAUAUAUUGCUGCGACAAUCAAGCUGUCAACGAUAAUGAUCUCCAAGGUACCGACGAAUCUCUUGUAACAAUAGCGGUUACCGACCUACAUAGUUGUAAGCCGUGGAAGAGGGCGUAAACUUGUAUAGCUAGAAAUUAAUCCCGGUGUGUGUGAUCGUACGACAAUCAUUGUUCCACCGGAUGUUAUUUAUAAAUACGAACGUGUGACGAGAAAUUUGUAUAGAAAGUAUGCCACUCUCGUUUGCUCUUUUAUUGAAACAUUGAGCUAGUCUGCGUACUAGUACGUAUUGAGUUGCCGGAUAUGUCUGAAACCUGUUCUAUCAUGAAUCAUAAAUUUUAUUCGGUUAAACUUCGUUCUGGUGCACCAUUUUCUUUUAAACUUUGUUUGCAGCUUCUGAUAGCACUGACUGAUGAAUAAAGACGAAGUGUAACAGUUUCGAGUCCAGCAAUCCGUUGGUGUAGAAGUUAUAGCCGAUAGAUGAAUCGAUUUGGUAAAUAUCAAUUUGAGCAAGGGUUGGGCAAGGUGUUGACAGAAAGUAACUAUGUAUAAGAUAGAGUAAGCCAUACACGUAGAUAGUAGACUAAAUUUACCAAACUUCAACAACGCAUGACUUUUGAAUCAAUGGAUUUGCUUCUAUUCGUCAAUUACUAUCAGACUAUGUAAACAAAAUUUUUUUAAAUGUGGUGCCUCAAAUCGAAGUUUAUCCCUUUAUUCCGAUAUUUUGCAAUAAUAUAAUUGAGCCAAAUAAAUAUGCGUCAUUCUGUUCAAUAAUUUCCGUUAGCGGUUGAGUAAUGCCGUUAUUCCAAUCGUGUAGAAUCGUUGUUGUUUCUGAAUAAAGGCGUGACCUCAGAAAGAUUCGUGGAUUUAUCCGACAACCCAAUAUAUUAACGUGAAACACGAACGAGAUCGUAUAACGGUACGAUUUGUGGAGUAAUACUUUUCUUUAGAAUUUUAUACUCAAUUGCUGAGUUUCAUAGCAAAGAAUGAUGACGUUUACACGUGCACAAACCGUACAAUUUUUUCGAUGAAAUACUAGAACAUAGAAAUUCUCGUGUGUCUACUACGCCACACGUAUGAACUAUGAAAAUUCGAUUUACGUACCAGUAUACCGACAUUCGAAUUCGAUGCGCAACAUUACAAAUAUCGGAUCUCGAACGAGUCUGCAACGUUUCAGAUUUGACGAAUGGUGUACAUUCUCAUGGGUUUCACGCAUACUUUCAUAAACUUUCAAGUCGAUCACGGUCGCGCGAUCGCAUGCCAAUAGAUGAAUAAUUUUCAACGAGAUUCAGUGUUCAGGUUUGUGUGCAAUGGCUGCGAUCGUUGCUCGCCGUUGAUCCGUAAUAUAUUACGGUUUCGUGUACUUCCGUCUGCACCAGGUUUUGAACUCGAACUGUGACUGCUGAUAAACUAGCGCUGAAAAAAGUCGCACGUGCCGUAUUUGGCAGAAUGUCUGGCGAAUACAUUCGCGUUCGAUGAGUUGUUUUGCGAUUCUCGCACAGAUAUGAAGAUAGCGCGUGAGCGUAUCAAGAAAGCGAUAUAAAGUAGCGAACAAAAAGUAGUUUAAGUGGUACAAUAAAUACCAUAAUCUUACAAAACAGAUUGUAUUUGAUAAGAGCACAAAUAUAGUACGAUAUAUGUUAUAUACUCUUGAGAAAUAUCUUACACAAAAAUUACUAAUGUGUGGAUAUACACAUAUAAAUUAUUUAGUAAACUUCAAACUCUUUUUGGUUCGCUACUGUAAAAUUCGCGACUCGAACUCUUCUAGUAAAUAUGCAAAUGCAACAGAAAUCAACGAUCGACAUCGGUGUGCAUGCAUGAUUAAACAUGGACAAAAGGGUCUCUAUGCAACGUUCUCUUUCUAUCGCCAUAUCGCAUCCACUUACAUGGUCACAUAUGACUGGCGUAUUUCAUAUUUGUAUCUUUAUAGCAAUUUUCGAGAAUCGAGGAUAGUGGGAAGAUAAAGUUAAUUAUUUUAAACAAUUUCGAACCGAGAAACGUUUAUUUAGAAGUCGACAUUCGCAUUUAAUGAGCUACGAUUUUAGAGAAUCAAGUACGCUAUACAUUGGUGUAUAAAGGAAAUCUAGUAACUUAAUGAUGCAAAAAAAGAUAAUGAUUUAUGCAGAUAUUGGUUGAUUUAGUAGGUAGAUUUCUUCCAGCUAGUUUUCAUCGAAUUAAAAUAUGUAAUUCGAAUGGCGAUGUAGCUUGACAAGUUUCGAAACUCGACUUCCUCGAAAAUGAAAUGUUAUGCUUGAUUUUUGUAUUAUUUUGAACUGGUAUACUGGUCUACCAAGAACUUAGAUCCAUGAUAUUAUAUUUUUGUAUGAAACUUAUUGAAUGUAUCAAAUAUCAGUGUGCCAUAAAUUCUGACCUGCUUGUAUUAAUUACAUAAUUCUGAUGUUGUUUUUUGUAUGUAGCCUGUACUGAGUUCGAUUGUUAAACAAUAUUGAAUCGAAGGAUGUUAAUUUCUAGGUCAAUCGUUUUUCUGUUUUUAAAUUUGGCAUUAGUCCAAGAGGAAACGAGUUGGUGGCAGUUUUAGUUACAGAUCGAUGUCUUUUUUUGCUAUCAGUGAUAUUAAAGUACGAAUCAUUGCGAAUUAUUUUUACAUAGAAAUUUAUGCUUUCAAUAAGAAGAUCAAUCGAUAAGCGAAAUUGUUUACGUAUUAUAAAAUAAGAAGCAGAAUGUGACAUUUAAUAUUACGUAUCGUUGUAACGACGUUCUGAUCUUACUUUACCAUUUCUUUUCCUACUUAAGAAUUUCUUAUGACAAAUAAACAAUAGUAUUUUAAAAAUAGAAUAGAAAAUGUAUGUAAUGAAGUUUCAUAAACAAAAAGGAUAAGAAUAGACUUAAAUUUUGUUGGGAAAAUAAAUCGUGUAUCUUAUCUUAUAGGAUAAUAUUCGAUGAAUUAAAAGCUUUCAAAGAGUAGAACAAAAGUUAGUUGGAAACUAGUUAAAUAAUUCUUGCCAAAUCAAUCAAGAAUUUGUUUUCAAAAAUGUCUUUAUUAUUGAAUGAGGAAUUAGGGGAACGUGUAAUUUUAUUGCAUCACAGGAGACAUUGUAACGUCGUACAAAGAGGUAAAUAUGUAGUCGUCAAUUAUUUAGAGCUUAAUAGUCCCGGAGAAUUGCAUUGCGAGAUUAGUUGGACAUGUUACGCGUCAUACCAGUAACAGGGGAUCAAAUACAGAUGACAUCAGAUCCGAGAAACCCAAUAAACACGAUCUGCAACAUAGUAUAGAUCACGGUUCAGAUUAUCUCGGAUUCGUAGAACAUAAUACGAACGACCUCAAAGUGCAUGAGAUGCGAUAUUGACGAUUAAAAAGUAGUAAAGCACUGCACAGACGAUUUAACAUAUGUAGACAGAAUACGAUACAGAUUGUAUCAAAUAGGUAGAAUCACGUUUUUAUUAGCCUAAGAUAUGUACAAAUUAAUUUAUCCUACUAUACAAUGCAGCUCCACUUAGUGGAACGAAAUUUUAAUUGAUGCUCGAUUAAAUAAACAUCGACAACUGAUUCCACUUAUCUGAACAUGAACUCUUACACAUAUAUGUAAAUUGAUAUAUAUUUAAUAUAAUUGAAAUGAGAAUCCAUAAUUUCAGUUCUACGGACUGUUUGACCUCUGAUGGAUUCAAAUAAAUUAGAUUUUAUCGUAGAUGGUAUUUGGUGGGCGGGCAAAACAGCAUGAAUCAAAUAUUUGUCAAAAUAUUCGGAUAAUUACGCUGAUAUACAUAAAUAUAUUCGAGGUGUAUUUAAAAAGUAAUCGAUCUGUUUCUAUAAAAAUGUUUACAUUUCAUUUAAUGAAAAAUGUACAGCGUUCCCUUCGAAAUAGUUCUCUUGAGAAAUUAUACACCGCCGUAGGCGGCUGUUCUUUCCCCUGAAAGCAGUGCUGGAAUUCUUCUAUCGAAGCUGCUUUUAGUUGGUCGGUUACAGCCCUUUCGAUGUUGUUCACGGCUGCAAAAAGAUGUUUCUUAAGAUGGCUUUUGAUUUUUGAAAAAAAGGAAAAGUGACAGGGACUCAAACGAAUGACACUUGCAACCGUAAGAAUACGUUUGCUGGUCAAAAACUCGUUUAGAUAGUGCAGUGUAAGAUGCUGCUCGAUGCGUUGCUGUCCCUUUUACAUAACGCGUUACUGAAACACACUUUUAUAAAAGUCGCCGCGAAAUCGCUCGCGUUAGCUAAAUCGAGUUGAAAUUAAUGACGAUAGAGAUAUACAUCUGAAAUAAUAUUGCAGCAUUGGUACAAUGUUGAGGAUUUCCAAGAAUUAAAAUCUGUCUCAUUACUGUUUAAGUAUGUACAUCUUGUACAUAUUUAAUAAUAUGUAUUCCAUAUCGCUGUUCUUUGCUUAUGAUUCUAAUAGUACAAGCCCAUUUCAAUUCUCUCCCGCUCUUUUAAUUGAUAUUUUAAUAUUAUAAUAUAUGUCAAAAAUACAGCGUAAAGGUAGGAAAAACAAAAACAGUAUCAGUUGAAUUAUACUAUAUUGUUCCUGUCCAUCAGCGAUAUAAAAUACAGCUUGAGUUCUUUGUUCUUGCACUCUACCAUUUCAACAUGGAAGAAAAGUACAUAAUAACUAAUCUAAGUACUUAAUUUCGUAAUAGCACACCUUACGAAUUUAUAAGACUCGCAAUAUUCUCGCCUCAUGAGAAAUCAAAUAGCGUUAUCAGCGGAAGCGGAGCAUAAAAAACAUGUGUUUCGUAUGUCGAAAUAACUCGAGACGAAAAUGGUGCUUAUAAAUUAUCACGUUUAUGUCGACAAUGUCGAUACUAAUUGAUCGAACUCGGAUCCAUUUGGCAAGCUCCGUUACAUCUCUAACAUCGUCUCAAGUUACCAUUUUGACAUAUGGUUUGACGUAUGCUUUCUUAUGCUUGAUCGAAUCCGCGAUAACUGAUAACGUUAUUUUGUUUCUAUCGGCUAUAUGUCCAGUAUAUUGUAAACACACUCGCUUAUGAUGUAUUACAUUUCAAAAAUUUUAUCAGUUUGAACAGAGAAAGGGAAUACUGUUACGCGAGAAUAGUUUCUCAAGAACAAGGAAACAUAAUUGCGCGUAAUGUACUCUAUGAGUCAUUAAACACCUGACUUAUAGACAUGAGAAAACCAUGUACUGGAGUACUAUUGUACGUAUUAUACGAUAACUUUGAAGAUUCGAUGUAGUUUCUUACUCUUCUAAGUUGUCCUAUUUUACAGUUGCUGAGUUCUAUGUAAGAUAGCAGCUUCACUUUGUUUUUGUUAAAUAGUAUAAUUGUAUUGAUUAAUUAUUACAAUGUUGAAAAAGUUCA